GCCAGUGUGGCAUAGUGGCUUCAGUUUUAGACUACAACUCUGGAGAGCAGGGUUUGAUUCCCAGCUCAGCCA